rnacentral:rRNA from 1 species
AUGUGCUUCUCCACCAGGGCCUCCUACACGCUCACCAUGGGCAACGCCUCUGUCAAUGAUGUGCAUGCCAUUCCAAUAUGGUCUUCAUGCGUUCCCAACCGGGUGAAGAUUUUUGCCUGGCUGCUAUUCCGAGGUCGACUCAACUCCAAAAGCAACCUACUCCGCAAGCACAUGGUCACUAACUCUCUAUGUCCACGUUGCGGCUUCAAUGGUGAAACACGCUUGCACAUAUUCAUCGACUGCCCACUCACGCAGCGGAUAUGGCAACGGGUUGGCAUUUACCCAUCGGCCACCUUUGACGAUCUUUGGGACUGUCGUCUCCCCUCUCAGCUGGAUGCGGCAAUCUGGCACUCCAUCCUCCUCAUUAUCCUAUGGAAGAUCUGGGACUCGAGAAAUGCUAUGACCUUCAGGCAGCAAAACCACCAUAGUAUCCUCACCCUUAAGAGAAUCAUUGAUGAUCUCAUGCUCUGGACACACAGGAUGAAGAAAACAGAGCAAAAGCAGGCCGCCUCCUUAUGGUGUUCCUAC